AUCUUCAAUUGUCAGGGAAUUUGACCAAAAUGUGUCAGGGAAAUCAGGGAAUUUCAUUUUUUGAAGUCUGCGGCAACUCUGAAACUAUAUUUGAAGGUUAAAUGUUUCUAGCAUUCGAGAUGGUUUGAGCAGGCAUUUAGUGAUUAAGUAACAUGUUUAUGCUACCAUAGCACUGUUCAGAAUUUUCAAGGGGAUGCCCUACUAGCAAAGCAAAAAGUACACCAUACUUCGCUCAGCAGAUUAUUCAGAUGGAAAGAAAAGAGAAUGAAUGGACAUUUUGAAAUUGUUAUUUUGAAAAUGUGUCUAAUCUACUUUUUUCUAAUUUUCAGAUGAGUUCGCAAGAUGAGCCAGAGGAUGGCGGUUGUGAAUGUGUCAUAUGUAUGUGUGAUGUCCGAGAUACUCUUAUUCUCCUUGUCGUCAUUUGUGUUUGUGCAAUGCCUGUGCUGAUUCUUUGCGUUAUCAAGCGAAUAACUGUCCAAUCUGUCGUUCCCCGUUCCGAGCUUUGCUCCAAAUCAGAGCCCUCCAGAAGUCAUCCUCACACUCAUCAACAGAGAAUGACAACAUUCCCCCUGGAUAUGAGGCUGUCUCAUUGAUAGAAGCUCUGAACGGUCCCCACGCUACCCGCCCAAAUCCACCACUAGAUUCCAUGGCUGAAACCCCCGACUCAGAAACAAACGGCCAGGCUGCUCAAAUUUUGAACAGAUCAAAUAUAGAUUGCUCUACUCUCAAAUCAAAUAAAUCCAAACUGAAUUCUUCCGAUGCCUCUGAAGUGAGGUCAAUUACUGAACGCUCUUUCUCAAAUUCCAAGUUACGAAUGUCAGUUCUCUUGGCAAGAGAAGAGGAAAAGUCGAGUGGAAGGAGUUCACUACCGAGAGAUAAAAGUGCUAUCUUAAGGCACCCAAGGGAUUCUGUUAGCUUUAUCAAUGAAAAGCAGCAAGAUGAGACUGGUGAUGAGGACAGUGAAGCAGAAAAACUCUCGCCUCUUCUAGAUGCAGCAACAAGCACUGACAAUGCACCAUCCGUUCCAAGUUUGGACUGCAGCCUCCAAGAAAGUAACAACUCGCAGGAGAAGAAAUCUCCUGAUAAGGAUGAAGAGUUCUACACACCAGACGACACAUCUGUCACAGUCCUCACAUCAGUCCCUGAAAAAAACCGGAGUCAUAGUAAUGGUAUAAGUUGUGUAAUGGUGAGCCGCGCUUGGCCCGGCGGUGUCUCUUUGCCAGGCACUCCGCUCAGCUCCUCGAGUCACAGGUCCAGCGGAGACAGCUACAGCUCUAACUGCUCUAGCAAGCUCCUCCUAACGUCAGCUGCGGAAACUCCCACCGCCGCAACAACUAAAAUAACUAACUGACGUCUACCACGGAACCGUCGCUCACGCUAAUUUGCUUGCGGCGGAUUAAGCUUGUAUUAUGCUACUUCAUGUCGAGAGAUCAGAUCUGUAAUGAUUACAUCGCGCACCACAGAGAGAAUCAUGUCGGCAACUAGUCAGCUAUCUGGACAAUUAGUCAUAAUAGAGAGGAUUGCUGGACAGUUAACAUUCGGAUGGUUUCAUAGUUUCCUUUUGGGAACUAGUUAAAACUUUGGAAAGUCCGAGGGACGUAUAAAAAACUUUAACUUUUAGUGAAAAUUAUUUCACAAACAUAUGACGACCAAUGAAUGCGAUAGCAUUAAGGUGUCCCUUAAAUUUUCGCAUAAGAAUGAGUUUUUAAUAUGCUCACUCAUACUUGAAUUCAUGAAAAAUUAAUUAAUUGUGAUUCAGGAAUGUUAUGCAAUUGGCUCAGCAAAACCUUCUGUAUUUUCUCCGUGACCACUGUUGGCUACUGAAUGGAUGGAUAAAUAAACAUUUUUUGACCUGAGGGAUUGACAGGCCCAAAUUUCCAUGAUAAUCCUUGACGCUCUGAAAGCCCCUCUUUUUCUCAGAUUUGCAAUGUUCAAACAGUGUGGACGCUCAUUUAGUAAUGGUUUUAUAGGUUUAUAUUUCAUGCUUUGCUCUAUGGAUGAAAUAGAACAACUGCAACUAAACUCGAAUUACGAUAGAGAUAUUCUUUGCAAAAACGACGUGUAAGCUUCAUAGUCUUGCACAGACUGUGCAACUUGUAGCAAACCAAUGAACUCGAAUGGUAAUACUUUUUAAGAAUUUGGACCUUUGGAUUGUUUAUGUGAAGCAUUUAGUUGCUUAAUCUGAGCAGAAUUGGAAAACUCAUAUCCAUUGUAAAACCAUGUUUCUCCAUUUCAGUGUUUCAAAAUCUUCUCCUUUUAUAUUUUUAAAAGAGAAACAAACCCAGUACAGCUUGAAAUUUUUGCGGAAUAUAUUCUGUCAAUAAAGAAAAAAAUUCAAGGAAGUUGUCAAAAAAUUACAUUGAUCUUUUUUCCAAAGACCUAAGAAAGUAUGACAGGAAGUCUGCAAUGUCAGUGGUAUGUGUUUUUGCAUUUUGACCAUUGAUGUCUCACUUCUACAAGGAAUAGCUAAAUUGCAAUCAUUGAAGAGCUUUAAAAAAAUCUUUCAAAUAGCUGCUUUCUGCAUAAUACGGAUUAGAAUAUUUUUGGAAGUAAUUCAUUGUAGAAAUGGAUCGAUAUUCAUAUUAGAAGAUUUGAUGAAUUUAACAUUUUGACUCUUCACCGGCCCUCAGCAGGAGCUACUGUACAAGCGAAUGAUUUAAAAUGGUUUUUAAUUAUUCUUUUUCACCCCAUGGUAUCACAUUACCGUAGUUCAGUGCCCUCAUCAAUACUUAAUUGUUUUGUUAUCAUUCUGCCUAGCUCUCCUCUGGCUAAUGUUAAAAGUAUUAUUCUAAUAAAGUUUCUUCCAAAUACAUUGUAGCAAAUCCCAAUAAAUCUUAGAUCUUAUUCAGUGAGGAAAGUAUCUCUUGCUCUGUUCUUGCUACAUCUUGCCUUCACAAAGUUUCUUUCCAGAGAAUUAAAUACAACUUGAAAUGAAAAAAUGCCCCUGAGAAUUACCGGCAUGCAGGUUGAUAAACUAAUUUUAACUUCUUGCUUUAAAAUAUGUUGUAUCAACGAAAUUUAGACCUUCAAAUCUUCACUAUCAGACUUAGUUUUAGGAAUUUUUAGGAAAUUCUUAUAUCUAGACGUUCUGAAUUUUGACAAUUGGCCUGCCGGUAAAGUUCUGUUUUGACUGUUAAAAAUCUUCAUCUGAAAGCAGUGUAGUACGAAUGUAGCAUUACAAUACCUGAACUCCAGAUCGUUGUAUCUAAAUUGCAACUUUUCGAAAUUUCAAGGUCUUAUUAAAAUCUGAGGACACAAUAAUGUGCAUGUAGCAGCAAAGUCUGUACCCUCUGCCUGUCAGGAGUUUUGAAAGUGCAGCUCAAGUCAGAGAAUAAUUAUCAUUAUGAAUCAGUUUCGGUACAUAUUAUAACAGAAAAGUUUAUACAUAACGACUCGAGUUUGUACAAUUCAAUCCUGUAAUUGUGAAAAAAAACAGAGAAAAUUUCAUGCCUCUCUUGAUUUAUUUUCCCUUUAGGAAUUAAAUACGCACAGAAAUUUUGAAAUGUUGCAAUGGAGUUGCACUGUUUUGGAGCUCAGGCAUCAUCUACUUUAAUUAGAAUUAGGAUCACGGUGAUUCUAGGAAAUCUUGUUAUCUCAUAACUCAAUUUAAGUUUGUGUACAGACAUGCUCCUAUUUAUUUGUAAUUAAGGCUGUUAGAUUGUAGGCAGUACCCAUUUGACUCUGAUUUUAGUCUGACUUGUAAGUAUCCUUUUUUUUUUGUAUUCUUGUAUGUACAUUAAAUAUUUUUUAUAAACGUUUCCUGGAUUGUUGAAAUUGUUUUCCCUUCCUCUCCUUUCAAGAAUAAUACUGCCAGGCCAAAGAAGAAUGCUUAAUGGACUGCAUUGACAAAUUUGGCGGAAUGAAACGAGGGGUCAGAGUGCAUGUACACUACAUUUGCUUCGGAAAUUCCAGUUUCGUCAUCAUAUUUUUACACCUCCCACUCACAAAAAAACCCGAGUCUUUUCGAGUUGCGACGAGCAUUAGAUUGAAUUUGGUAUGCUUCACAAUGGAAGAAUUUUCCAGUGUAUCAACUCAGUUCUGCCAAGAUUAAAGGUACCUUUAUCAGAAUAAGAAGGAAGUCAGUGAAACCAAGCUCUAAUUAUUUGCCUGUGUACAGGUUGAACUCGACGCCUAAUUUAUCCUAUGUUGAUGAGGUUCUUCAUGCGAGCGGGAAGUUUGAAUUUACUGUUUAUAAUAAAAACUUAAAAUGCUAUUUUCUCACUUACCAGGGGAACUUCCCAAUUGUUCAAAAAUUCAUACUAACUCUUUGGGUGAAUCUAAUGGACCCGUAUUUUUUUGUUUUUUCCAGUGCGCCCUGGAAACACCCCAAGAAAAUUCCGAAAGUCUUGUAUUGAGCGCUCAAGUGUAUAUAAGCAGUUUAGCAGCCCUCCUCUCACAUCAGGCAGUGGCUCUGCGCUAAAGAGGUUGCCCUGUGAGCGGGUGGUUCCAGGUUCGAUACCCAGGCUAAGGGA
rnacentral:lncRNA from 1 species